AAUGGUUAUGCGGGAGAGACCGACAGUCCUCCCGGACAUGUGUCGGCGCCGACGGAGCAACCCCCCAGGAAACUCUCAGGCACCACGGACCGCAUAAUCAGG
rnacentral:ncRNA from 2 species